rnacentral:tRNA from 1 species
UCCUGGGUGGCUCAGUUGGUUGAGCAUCUGACUUCGGCUCAGGUCAUGAUCUCAUGGUUAGUGGGUUCAAGCCCCACAUCAGGCU